UACACGACCGUACCGCAAACCGACACUGGUGCGCGAGAUGAGUAUUCUAAGGCGCUUGAGAGAACUCAGGAGAAGGAACUCGGCAAAUUGACACCGUAACUUCGGAAGAAGGUGUGCCUUUAGUAGGUGAAGUCCCUCGCGGAUGGAGCCCAAUGAGGUUGCAAAAAAUCGGUGGCUGCGACUGUUUAUUAAAAACACAGCACUCUGCAAACACGAAAGUGGACGUAUAGGGUGUGACGCCUGCCCGGUGCUGGAAGAUUAAAUGAUGGGGUGCAAGCUCUUGAUUGAAGUCCCAGUAAACGGCGGCCGUAACAAUAACGGUCCUAAGGUAGCGAAAUUCCUUGUCGGGUAAGUUCCGACCUGCACGAAUGGCGUAACGAUGGCCACACUGUCUCCUCCUGAGACUCAGCGAAGUUGAAAUGUUUGUGAUGAUGCAAUCUCCCCGCGGAAAGACGGAAAGACCCCAUGAACCUUUACUGUAGCUUUGUAUUGGACUUUGAACAGAUCUGUGUAGGAUAGGUGGGAGGCUUUGAAGCAGGGUCGCUAGAUCUUGUGGAGCCAACGUUGAAAUACCACCCUGGUGUGUUUGAGGUUCUAACCUAGGCCCGUAAUCCGGGUUGGGGACAGUGCAUGGUAGGCAGUUUGACUGGGGCGGUCUCCUCCCAAAGUGUAACGGAGGAGUUCGAAGGUACGCUAGUUACGGUCGGACAUCGUGACGAUAGUGCAAUGGCAUAAGCGUGCUUAACUGCGAGACUGACAAGUCGAGCAGAUGCGAAAGCAGGACAUAUUGAUCCGGUGGUUCUGUAUGGAAGGGCCAUCGCUCAACGGAUAAAAGGUACUCUGGGGAUAACAGGCUGAUACCGCCCAAGAGUUCAUAUCGACGGCGGUGUUUGGCACCUCGAUGUCGGCUCAUCUCAUCCUGGGGCUGUAGCCGGUCCCAAGGGUAUGGCUGUUCGCCAUUUAAAGAGGUACGUGAGCUGGGUUUAAAACGUCGUGAGACAGUUUGGUCCCUAUCUUCCGUGGGCGCUGCAGAUUUGAGGAAGCCUGCUCCUAGUACGAGAGGACCGGAGUGGACGCACCUCUGGUGUAUCGGUUGUCACGCCAGUGGCAUUGCCGAGUAGCUAUGUGCGGAAGAGAUAACCGCUGAAAGCAUCUAAGCGGGAAACUCGUUUCAAGAUGAGAUCUGCCGGGGCCUUGAGCCCCCUGAAGAGUCGUUCAAGACCAGGACGUUGAUAGGUCGGGUGUGGAAGCGCAGUAAUGCGUUAAGCUAACCGAUACUAAUUGCUCGUGCGGCUUGAUCA
rnacentral:rRNA from 1 species